rnacentral:lncRNA from 1 species
UCAUACAGUGAUCACACAGAUAAAUACUUCAUAAGAUCUGAGGAAGUUUCCAAAUCAGCUCCCUGGUUCAAACGGAUCACUUAAACCUGCUAGAUAAGCUAUGGAUUCUAACAACAGCAAAGGAGGAUGUAGCUAUUGCAAGGCCAACUGCAAUAAUAACUGCACAUGCAAGUGUCAUAAAAAUAUUCCCAUAACGGCACUUCAAGAAACAGCAAUGCGGAUGGCUCAAUCAGCGGUUAUUGGGGUGGCUCAAGUGGUAUCUAAAAGGGUGGCUCAAGAGGUGGCUAAAGAGGCUAUGCACCCUGAUCCUACUACUGUUGAAGAUCCUGAGAUCAGUGAUGAUGGAUGUUUAUGUGGAAUAUGCAAGUGUAUUGUGGAAGCGUUUUGUGGCAGUUGUUCUGAGUAAAUGGGUUUCUGGAGAUGAUGCAGUCAUCAGGACGAGAACAUCAUCCAACACACAGCCCAACAGAACUACAAACUACAAUCAACAUCAGGACAUCUUUAGUGUCAAUAUCGAUCUAUCUAUCUAUCUAUUAGAGUUUAAUUUUGAAUAGUUGCCUAGGGCUAUGCAACAUAUGAUCAGGGUGUAGACACAAUUAAUUUCUCUAACUUCUUCUCUGGUGGUGAAAUGAUAAAGACGGCGGUCAAAAG